rfam:Spinacia oleracea cultivar SynViroflay scaffold25060.con0002.1, whole genome shotgun sequence.
UUGUUGAGAGCUUGUCAAGAUAGCCAAGGAGACUGCCUGGUACCAAAUCACGAGAACCCUAAAGCUUAUACCACCCCGUUUAGAUUCAAUUAUCACGUUAUAUAUAUACUAUCAACGUGACUAUUGAAUCAAUACAGAUAGAGUAUUUAGAUUUAAGGCCCUCGAAAUAAAAAGAAGCAGGCAAGUCAUCCUUGGCUACCAAACCAUAAAACUCUCAACU